UGAUGAUUGAAGGUUCCUUAAAAUGCGGCCGAGAAAUGCGACUCAACAUAUCCCAAGAUUCAUUGCGCGCCGGUAAUUGAGAGCAAACGACACCGACGGAGAGCCCGAGGAUUACACAUUCAACUUGUGAUCAGUUGGAGCUUCAGCGUAGUGUCAGCUGAAGUGUCUUUAAGCAAGCUGCUGAACUUCAACCUGCUCUUCAUCAAGGCGGCGUCAAUGUUGUCAGGAAUCCCCCUCCAGUGACGGGACGCCAGCGCCGGGUAACCGCUCUCCAGAUGCCCGUCCCUGAUUCGCCAAACGUAGCCCGACUUAAAGAAGAACAGCUCCCCUCGG